UCCGACUUGACGCCGGCAGUCUCGCUAGAGUCCCCGCCAUGACGCGCUGGCAACUAGCGACAGAGGUCGCGCUCGUUAAGGGACUUAACCCGACACUUCACAGCACGAGCUGACGACAGCCAUGCAGCGCCUGUGCACGUUCCACCCGAAGGUGUCACCCCGCUUUCACGGGGCUAAUCCGUGCAUGUCAAACCCAGGAUAAGGUUCUUCGCGUUGCUUCGAAUUAAGCCACAUGCUCCACCGCUUGUGUGAGCCCCCGUCAAUUCCUUUGAGUUUUAGCCUUGCGACCGUACUCCCCAGGCGGUGCACUUAACACUUUCGCUUCGACCGAGAAUGGUGUCAGAACCUCCUCGAUCUAGUGCACAUCGUUUACGGCGUGGACUAC
rnacentral:misc_RNA from 1 species